rnacentral:rRNA from 1 species
AACUUAAGCAUAUCAAUAAGCGGAGGAAAAGAAACCAACAGGGAUUGCCCCAGUAACGGCGAGUGAAGCGGCAACAGCUCAAAUUUGAAAUCUGGCUCUCGGGCCCGAGUUGUAAUUUGUAGAGGAUGCUUUUGGUGAGGUGCCUUCCGAGUUCCCUGGAACGGGACGCCAUAGAGGGUGAGAGCCCCGUCUGGUUGGACACCGAUCCUCUGUAAAGCUCCUUCGACGAGUCGAGUAGUUUGGGAAUGCUGCUCUAAAUGGGAGGUAUAUGUCUUCUAAAGCUAAAUACCGGCCAGAGACCGAUAGCGCACAAGUAGAGUGAUCGAAAGAUGAAAAGAACUUUGAAAAGAGAGUUAAAAAGUACGUGAAAUUGUUGAAAGGGAAGCGCUUGUGACCAGACUUGGGCUUGGUUGAUCAUCCGGGGUUCUCCCCGGUGCACUCUUCCGGCUCAGGCCAGCAUCAGUUCGCCCUGGGGGAUAAAGGCUUCGGGAAUGUGGCUCUCUCCGGGGAGUGUUAUAGCCCGCUGCGUAAUACCCUGUGGCGGACUGAGGUUCGCGCAUUCGCAAGGAUGCUGGCGUAAUGGUCAUCAGUGACCCGUCUUGAAACACGGACCAAGGAGUCGUCUUCGUAUGCGAGUGUUCGGGUGUCAAACCCCUACGCGAAAUGAAAGUGAACGCAGGUGAGAGCUUCGGCGCAUCAUCGACCGAUCCUGAUGUUAUCGGAUGGAUUUGAGUAAGAGCAUACGGGGCCGGACCCGAAAGAAGGUGAACUAUGCCUGUGUAGGGUGAAGCCAGAGGAAACUCUGGUGGAGGCUCGCAGCGGUUCUGACGUGCAAAUCGAUCGUCAAACAUGGGCAUGGGGGCGA